ensembl:lncRNA
CAGGGGCUGCUGCAGGUAAGCGAGCCAGCUCCUGCAGGUGCCCCACUUUGGCCCUCGCUGCUGCUCAUUCCCGCACCGGCUGUUGGAGUGGGAGGACUAUGGCUGGGAGCACUUCAAAAAGCACCGGAACAACCCAAAUAUCAGGACCUGAUUUAGGGGGCCACUUAAAACGGAGACAGCACCUGCAGCUCAGCCCUGCACAGCCCUUUUGAAGAUGGUGGCCCCGCAGUGGCGGAGAGGCCCCCACCUACACCCAGCGAGAAAAAGCAAGAAAGAAGAUCAACCAUAAAACUGAAGAGAAUGAAAACUGAGUCCAGACAGUCUGCAGCCUCGUGCUUGCCAUCUAACUGCCCCAGGUCCAUCUCUGAACCAGAUCUGUGUCCCUCAGGACUGGAGAGGACCUGCUGCUCCUCUCUCAACCCUACAUGUGAAGCCGCAGCGCCCCGUCCCAGCGCGGACCCCGGCUCCCCACCCUGCAGUUCCCGCGUGCUCUCACUUGAAGGCAACAUUGAGCUUCAGAUCGCAACCUGCCCGGGAGCGCUCCCCUCUCCUUGGUUCUCCAGCCUCGACUGUCAAGUCAGACUCAACCAGGCUCCUCUCACCCUCAGAGAGCCAUUCUGGAGACAAGGAAGACACGCUCCUUCCCACUGCCCUGAGCAACGAAGGGGGACCGGCUGAGGAUAAACUGGUUUCAGUAGCUCAGGAGAUAAAGGACAAGGUGGGGCGUGGGGACCCAGAGCAUCUUUACAGACUCAUCUAUGAGUCAUAGGAAUCGCAAACACCAGAAAUGACUGAUAACAGUAAAUGACAAUAGGUCCACUUGAGUGAACAUUUAAAUUCUCAUGAUGAAGAUUAUGCAGCUACUUGGGACAAUUACAUAAGUGGAAAGAAGAAUGCAGAUUUUUUCUAUUUUUUUUCUUUUUUUUUUUCUUUUAACUUUCAGUGCAUGUCAUGUGUCCUAGUUGUUAGGUUUUUUUUAGUUCUCUGUGGGAGCUGCUGCCGCAGUGUGACAACUGACAGACGGGUGACAGGGUUCCACAACCAGGAAACGAACUCAGGCCACAGCAGUGAGAGUGCCAAAUCUUAACCAGUAGACCCCCAGGGCUGGCUCAGCAAGUUUUUUCUACAUUUUUAUUGCAGCCGUCUAAAAAUUAUAUCUGCCUGUAAGAAAAAAAAAAACAAAGGAGGGAAG